UUCAUACAAAACACAUUCUCUCUCCUAUUUCGUCUCUAGAAUACAGUUUUCUCUUAGAUUAAUUGAUUUCAAUCUUCACGUUUAUUGUCUUUCUCCUUAGGUUUAAUUUCUGCAACAAAAGGAGGAAGAAGAAAUCGAAGCAUGAGGAACCCAUCUAGAGAGAGAACUAGAAUCAACUCAAAGAAGGGGGAGAAGAAGCUCCGCCGCAUCCUCCGGAUGCUUCACGCCCUACCCCAAUACCAUCAAGGAGAAUGUUUGAAACAACGACUCCAUCGAACUGUAUUGCUAAUUAAUUCAUAGAAUGGAAUCCAUUAAACAGGAACUACACUAAACCUAAAACAUGGUCGGUUCUUCCUGUUAAUGGAAAUUUACUUAUUCAACUUCAACUCUAAUUUUUAACAAAAUCAGAUUCAGGCUUAUGCAGAACUACUCCAGUAAGAUGGUACAAGGAUACAAACAUGGUUCUUCAGUUCUAAGGAUGGUGUAAAUGUGAAAUUAACCGCACCACUCCUCUAUUUAUUCAUUGAUUGAUUAUGUUCAUCCAGAAGUUGUGCUCAAGAUUUUCUUCCGCACCGACAAAUUUAGGUCUUCAGAGGCUAAUAGAAAGUUACAAAUUAACUAUGAGAACAGUGGUAGACACACAAUGAGAUUUUCAUUUUGAUGAGCGAAUGCAGGUUCCUAACUAUUACUCAAUGGUGAUGUGAACGGAAAAAUGACGUUUGCUCAUGUGGCAAUUGCACAAGGGAUUUCAGUAUGCCAGCAUGAAGAUACAGUCAGAAUACCUAGGGAACUCUGGGUUUCUGUAGAUCAAUGUGGACCUCUUCUCAUGAUGAGCUUGCUGCCGUCAGAUCCUGUUAAUGGAUGAAUAUAUGGAAAUUAGUCGAAAUUUAUAACAUUGAUUUAGGAGGCAAAGUAUAAUUACAAAGACGAUGCAGAGGAAUGGAAAAACAAGAAUUAUGGAAGCUCGAUGCAAAGGGGUUCUAUGGAGAACACAAUCUUUGGAUGCCAAACCUACUGCAAUGUUCUACAAUACUGGGUCUCAAGGUGGUGGUCAGGAAAGAAUUGCGAAAUGUAGGUGGAAAAAUUGUUCAUCUAAGGAGCACUGCAUUAGCUGAUAGUCGAUUUAACAAAAUUUGUAUGAAAGAUUCCACAAGUUUGUAUGAAUGUUCCAUUAAAAAACACGAGUUUAUUCAAGAUUUGAAAGAAGAAUUAAGGUGUUGGUGUCGACAAGUUCGGGUCUAAGAACUCUUAGAUGUCAGAUUGCUCUAGGAGAAAUGUGACAUGAACUCACAUCCCUAAUAAGGAAGAAACAAUUUUUGUUGGCCUGAGGCGGCUCUUUGUUGUCUUUGAAAAUGUGUGGAAGCUGCUAUUCAUUGCAGCUUCUUUACACCGUGAGUUGUCUCUUGCAUCCACCACACCUCUCGAGGUCCAAAGCAAUUUUUACUGACUGCUUCAACUUAUCUCUUCCCAAAAUAGGGACAAGUUUAGUAGGUGCAGCGAUCGCAAGAUUAAGGUUGAGUUCAACAGGCCAUGGAGCCUUUAUAAUGCUAAGAUUCUCCUUCAAGAUCCUAUGGAAGGGUUAUAUUCAGUGUUGAACCAGCAAUAAGAUCCUUGCAUGAAUACUCGAGGAACUACAAGCAUCUACAUGAGUUUGAAGCUCACAGCUGCUUAUUAAACUCAGUUGGGGGGAAUACUCGAGGAACUACAGGCAUCCACAUGAGUUUGAAGCUCACGGCUGCUUAUUAAACUCAGUUGGGGUUGAUUUUCAACACAUUACCCUUAAUGAAUACAAGCAGAACAUGCAAUCAAUAGUCCCCUUCAUUUAGGAUAAUGAGUUGAAGAGUUGCUUAAAAAACAAAAGCUGUUUAGACAUCUUGCAGUUGGCUUUGCUUCUUUUAAAACUAUCUACCAGCACCAUUGCUUGAAAGGGGUAGUGGUGCACUGUUCUCCUCACUUGCAAUAAAAGCCCGAAUUGGGAGUUUACAGAUUUGGGCUUUGCAUGGACUUCUUUUGACCAUAGAUGUUGCCGGCUUAUUUUAUGUGUCAUUGUGUCCCAAGUGCAGGCGACUCUCUUACUUGCUAUGGAAUUUACACGUCUGAUGAAACUGGAUGGGUUGAGCUCCGACAAGGGAUAUGGCGCCUUAUAAAUCCUAUCUCUACCUCCCUUGCUUAUGAAAUGCUGCAAGGUUCUUUAAUUUCUUUAAACUAUGGAACUGUGGCGCAAUGGUGGUGCAUCUGACUUCAAGUCAGAAUGUUACGUGUUCGAUUCACGUCAGGUCCAAUCACCGAUAUUAUGCUUCUUUUCUUGCGGUAUAUUUGGUGAUAAUGCGAAAGUCUCCAAACUCAUUUAAGUUGAUUCACAUAUAGGAGGGGAACAAAAUGCAAAUCCAAACUAAUUAAUCAAGUUUACUACCAAAAUGAGGAAUAAUAAUUGUGGGAUUGCUGAAACUUUUAGGCAUUAUAUGCAUCUUUGAAUUAUAAAAUCAUCAAGAUGCUAUCAGGCUAUAGGAGUUUCGUUAUCGGCUCGAUAAUGAAUUAGAUGUUAUAUUUAACUUUGAUAGUCUAUAAAAGGUUAGCAGACA